rnacentral:lncRNA from 1 species
UCCCAAGUGCUGGGAUCAAAGGCGUGCGCCACCACGCCCAGCUGUCACCAGUGUUUCAAAAGUAUUACCUUAGAUUAAUCCUUCAACCUGUCUAAAAACAAAAUAAUACAGUAACAAUACUUUAUUUAUUUGUUAAGCCGGGGAUUGAGCUAGGAUCUUGUGAACGCUCGUCAAGUGCCCCGCAGCUGAGCUUCUGCUCCGCUCCGCUAACGUUGUUAACGUUGUUCAGGGUGUCAUUAAGUUGCCCAUUGAAUUCACUCGGAAGCCCAGCCUGGAUUGGAAUCUGCAUUAGCCUCCCAGGUAGCGGGCACGAGGACUGAUUGACCAGGCUUUCCCUUACUGACGGCCUGGCUGUUGGGAGCAUGUUUCCGGAUUAUCUGUCUUGUAUGUUUACCGACAUCCUGCUUGGCAAGCAGCUAGAACUCAAUUCGGCUCGCACCUGCAGCUGACAUCUUUGUACUUUGAGAACUUGGAGUCAUUUCUCCUUUUACCUAUGUUUCCUCUUCUGCUUGUAGAUGAGGCCGGGAAGUUGGAACUUUCUUCAGCCUUUGUUUUCCAUUUUACUUACUUUGAGUGUUAGCCUUUAAAAGAAUAUUUUUAAUUACGUGUGACGCUGUGUGGGCGUGUGCACGUGAGAGCAGGUCCCUGUAGAGGCCAGAGGCAUGGGAUCCUCCUGGAGCUGGAUUCCUGAGCCCCGUGGUGUGGGUGCUGGGAGCCGAAUCUCAGUCCUCAGCGGGUUAUGUAGUCUUGACUGCUGAGCCAGUUUUCUAGCCUGUAUUGGCCUUUUCAACGUUGUCAUCUUCUUAGAUUAUUUUAUGGUAUUUUGUUAACACCAGGGUUCCAUGUAUCCCAAGUUAGCCUCUCACUUGCUAUGUAGCUAAGGAUAAACUUAGACUUUAUGAUCCUCUUGCCUCUCCCUCGAUGUUGCUGGAGUCACAGGCACACUUAUGUGUGACCACUGUGCCUGGGGGGUUGAACUCAGGGCUUCGUGUCUGCUAGGCAAGGACUCUACCAACUAAGCCAGGUCCUCAGACUUUUUUUUUUCAGACUUUUUAAAUAUAUACUUUAUUAUUUGUAGGAAUUCAUAUUCGUACACUGCGUUUCGAUUGGAUUCACUUCCUGUUCCUCCCCGGCUCUCCAGAGGUCCACCCCCACUCCUCACCACAUUUUAACUUCCCGUCUUUCUCCUCCUUUUUAUUUUUUAUUUUUUAAGAUUUAUUUUUAUGUAUAUGAAGAUGCUGUUGCAGUCUUCAUACACACCAGAAGAGGGCACUGGACCCCAUUGCAGAUGGUUGUGAGCUACCUACCAUGUGGUUGUUGGGAUUUGAACUCAGGACCUCUGGAAGAGCAGUCAGUGCUCUUAACCACAGAGCCAUCUCUCCAUUCCCCAUUUCUUAAGUUCUUAGAUAGACUUGAUUAUUUGUUGUUUUUUAUAUUAAAGAGUAGAGUUUUUUUUAAAAUCUGGGUGGUAGCUUAGCAGUAAGAGCUCUUGCCUGUCAUGUUGGUGACCCUAGAGUUAAUCUGCCCUUACCUUCAACCCCCCCAAAAAAGACCUGAAAAAAUAGACUUUUGUUAUUGC